rnacentral:rRNA from 1 species
UACGUAGGUGGCAAGCGUUGUCCGGAUUUACUGGGCGUAAAGAGCGCGCAGGCGGCUGGUCAAGUCCGAUGUGAAAUCUCCCGGCUUAACUGGGAAACUGCAUCGGAAACUGAUCGGCUUGAAGGUGGGAGAGGGUAGUGGAAUUCCCGGUGUAGUGGUGAAAUGCGUAGAUAUCGGGAGGAACACCAGUGGCGAAGGCGGCUUUCUGGACCAAUACUGACGCUGAGACGCGAAAGCGUGGGGAGCAAACAGG